GUUUGAUCCUGGCUCAGAUUGAACGCUGGCGGAAUGCUUUUACACAUGCAAGUCGAGCGGCAGCGCGGGGCAACCUGGCGGCGAGCGGCGAACGGGGUGAGUAAUACAUCGGAACGUGCCCAGACGUGGGGGAUAACUACUCGAAAGAGUGGCUAAUACCGCAUACGAUCUACGGAUGAAAGCGGGGGAUCGCAAGACCUCGCGCGUCUGGAGCGGCUGAUGGCAGAUUAGGUAGUUGGUGGGAUAAAAGCCUACCAAGCCAACGAUCUGUAGCUGGUCUGAGAGGAUGAUCAGCCACACUGGGACUGAGACACGGCCCAGACUCCUACGGGAGGCAGCAGUGGGGAAUUUUGGACAAUGGGCGAAAGCCUGAUCCAGCCAUUCCGCGUGCAGGAUGAAGGCCCUCGGGUUGUAACUGCUUUUGUACAGAACGAAAAAGACUCUGGCUAAUACCUGGAGUCCAUGACGGUACUGUAAGAUAAGCACGGCUAACUACGUGCCA
rnacentral:rRNA from 1 species